UUAUUUGAGAGUUUGAUCCUGGCUCAGGAUGAACGCUGGCGGCGUGCCUAACACAUGCAAGUUGAGCGAUUUACUUCGGUAAAGAGCGGCGGACGGGUGAGUAACGCGUGGGUAACCUACCCUGUACACACGGAUAACAUACUGAAAGGUAUGCUAAUACGGGAUAAUAUAUUUGAGAGGCAUCUCUUGAAUAUCAAAGGUGAGCCAGUACAGGAUGGACCCGCGUCUGAUUAGCUAGUUGGUAAGGUAACGGCUUACCAAGGCGACGAUCAGUAGCCGACCUGAGAGGGUGAUCGGCCACAUUGGAACUGAGACACGGUCCAAACUCCUACGGGAGGCAGCAGUGGGGAAUAUUGCACAAUGGGCGAAAGCCUGAUGCAGCAACGCCGCGUGAGUGAUGAAGGCCUUCGGGUCGUAAAACUCUGUCCUCAAGGAAGAUAAUGACGGUACUUGAGGAGGAAGCCCCGGCUAACUACGUGCCAGCAGCCGCGGUAAUACGUAGGGGGCUAGCGUUAUCCGGAUUUACUGGGCGUAAAGGGUGCGUAGG
rnacentral:rRNA from 1 species